UUGAAGCUCGAUAGUAUCUACUUUUUACUAUGUGUAGACUAUUGUUGUUGUAAAUUGAGAUUUUUAUUGUGUGGUAAUUCAGUGUGUACAACGCAAGUCUAUUAGUACUUUGUACACGUAAAUGUCCGCAUGGCGCACUCUGAAAAUUUUGUUUUGUCAGGAGGAGCAGAUAAGUCUGCAUGAGCUCCACUAUCCAACCAGUGUACAGUGGGGACACAAUGCAGCACUGGGAAAAGACAGUUCACUGGAAAGUCAGAAGAUUUCCCACCACUCAUUUCCAGCAUGUCUGCAACCAAAGCACUGCAUGGUAGUGGGAGGACUGUGAUGUGGGCCUGUGUUUGUAGUCAGACAGGAAGUGUCACUGGCAGUACCACCAGGACUCUGAAAUGUGAAGGGACUGAGUCCACAGUGGGGAGAACAAGUAUUUGAUUCACUGCAGAUUUUGCAGAUUUUCCCACUUGCAAAGCAUGUAGAAGUCUUUAAUUAUUCUUUAAUUAUUAUCAUAUGUACUCUUCAACUGUGAGAUGAAGAAAAACGCUUGCACAAUUUUUUUUAAAUAUUAGCUUGUUCAAUGACAAAUACUCCAUUAUUUUUCUAUAAAUAUGUUCCAUUCUGUUCAAACUUUAUAUUUAAAAUCCAAAAUAAUUUCUUUAUGUACACCUGCACUGUUUUUCUUUCAUUAAAACCAUAAAAUCAAAUUUC